AUGCACUCUAAUUAAUAUCCUUUAAAUUCUCUUUCUCGAUUUUCGUGCAUGUUCGAUUAUUCGACGGCCGCCCAAGGCGUCGCGUGCGACGCCGGUCGGCCGCUUACGCUCGCUCUUUCCUUCGUUGACUCCUCGUAUCUUCCCUAACGUCGAAAAUAAUUUCUAAAAAAAUUAUUUACGCGCAUACUUUAAUUAUCGCAAUCAUUUAUCGUUGAAGAGGUAUAAUUUCAUUUCAUACUUAGGAUAAAAUUAUUCAUUCUUUAAAACGUUCCGGAAAUCAUUACAUAAUUCGCCACGAUUAAUUAUCGGCCCAUCGAUUAAUUAAUUUGGCCCUCACCUUUAUACUUCCAAUUAAAAUAAAAAGGCCCAAAAAAAACAAGGCCCAAAUUUUUUUUUCUAUAUCCCCUCCACAUCUCUCUUCCUCUCUAUUCAUCUCUCUCUCUCUUCGACGGAAACUGCCCAAAUUCUCCCCCAAGGUUGGGUCGCCGCCUCCGCGAAUCGUCUCCCUCGUCGACCCCCACGCCGACGAUCACUGCUCGCCGGGAGAAACGUCGUCUUCCGCCGCUGCCGCUGGAGUCGUCGGAAAAAGCUGUUGUCCGCCGCUGCUACUGCUGCCACGGGGAGGGAAGCCGCUGUCGUCGCACCGUCGGAGAGGCGCCAGUCGUCGCUGCUGCCGCCGGACAGCACGGCUGCUUUCGCCGGCACCCCGAACCUCUCCGAUCAGCCCCGCACUCCACCCGAACAGCCCGAUUACAAUGUAAGGUGAGAAGAGAAGUGAAAGGGUGGAUGUUUAAAAAGGGGUGUCUUUUGGUUUGUAGGAUAAAUGGUGGAAGAUGGAGAGUGGGUGGAGAAGUUGAAAGUUGGGAAGUCUCCACUUGAAUGAAACCGCCGAUCGUGGAGAGGAGAAGAAGGAGAAGGGUUCUUGGGCUUGUUCCCUUUUUUUGGAAAAGAAUGGACUCCCACUUUAAUUAGAUUGGUUUGGGCUCAUUUAGUUGAAAGCCCAAGUUUGUAAAAUUCUUUAUCAAUGGGUUGGAUUUCUUUAAAUAAUUAGGGUCCAAACCAUUUUGUAGAUAGACAAUUGGACUCUAAUUAAAUUUGCAAAGCCCAAUAUAAAUUCAUACUUUAUAUUUUCGUA